AUGGCCAUACCACAUUGAAAACACUGGUUCUCGUCCGAUCACCGAAGUUAAGCAAUGUCGGUCAGUACUUGGGAGGGUGACCACCCGGGAACACCUGUAAGCUAUUACCUCU
rnacentral:rRNA from 1 species